rnacentral:rRNA from 1 species
GACAGAGGGGGCAAGCGUUGCUCGGAAUUACUGGGCGUAAAGGGCGCGUAGGCGGAAUGGCAAGUCGGUCGUGAAAUCCUUCGGCUCAACCGAAGAACGUCGAUCGAAACUGCCGUUCUUGAGGAUUGCAGAGGAGACUGGAAUUCCCGGUGUAGCGGUGAAAUGCGCAGAUAGUCGGGAAGAACACCCCGUGGCGAAGGCGGUUCUCUGGGACGGUACUGGACGCUGAGACGCGAAAGCGUGGGGAGCGAACAGG